rnacentral:rRNA from 1 species
CGGGACGGGUGAGUAACGCGUGGGGAACCUGCCCUAUACAGGGGGAUAACAGCUGGAAACGGCUGCUAAUACCGCAUAAGCGCACAGAAUCGCGUGAUUCGGUGUGAAAAGCUCCGGCAGUAUAGGAUGGUCCCGCGUCUGAUUAGCUGGUUGGCGGGGUAACGGCCCACCAAGGCGACGAUCAGUAGCCGGCUUGAGAGAGUGGACGGCCACAUUGGGACUGAGACACGGCCCAA